rnacentral:misc_RNA from 1 species
CAACCCUCAAGCACAGCUUGGUCUUGGGCUUCGCCGCUAACCCGGCGGGUCUUAAAAUCAGUGGCGGUGCCGUUGGGCCCUGAGCGCAGUAAUUUCUCUCGCUAUAGGGACCCGGCGGAUGCUGGCCAGCAACCCCCAAUUUUCUAUGG